UACGAAGGGUGCUAGCGUUGUUCGGAAUCACUGGGCUUAAAGGGCGCGUAGGCGGGCGGUCAAGUCAGAGGUGAAAUCCCACGGCUCAACCGUGGAAGUGCCCCUGAUACUGACUGUCUCGAGGGAGGUAGGGGCGUGCGGAACUUCCGGUGGAGCGGUGAAAUGCGUAGAUAUCGGAAGGAACACCGAUGGCGAAAGCAGCGCGCUGGACCUCUACUGACGCUGAGGCGCGAAAGCCAGGGGAGCAAACGGG
rnacentral:rRNA from 1 species